rnacentral:tRNA from 1 species
AACGGAUAGAGCAUCUGACUACGGAUCAGAAGGUUGGGAGUUCGAAUCUCUUCGGGC